rnacentral:lncRNA from 1 species
GCGAGGCAGAGGGAGGCCUAAGAAGUAUUGGGGAGAGGUGUUUAGGCAGGACAUGACUAGAAUGCAGGUUUUCGAGGACAUGACCCUUGAUAGGAAAGUCUGGAGGUCUAGAAUCAGGGUUGUAGGAUAGGGGCUCUUAGAGCUUUUCGUACGCCUCAUCGGGGGUUGGGUGUGGGUCAGAAGGGUUACCCAUAGAUGAUUUAUGUUUUAGCUUAUGUCCCCCUAUGGCUGUUAGUUAUGGUAGUUACUGUAUGAUAUUAUUG